AACCAUUGGGCUUAAUGGAGGCUUGAAGG
rnacentral:piRNA from 1 species